rnacentral:tRNA from 1 species
UGGAAAGUUGUCAGAGUCAGGUUUAUCGUACUCCCCUGCUAAGGGAGUGUGGGUUGAUUCCCACCACAGGUUCAAAUCCUGUACUUUCCGCCAU